AAGAUAGCGAAAUCUGUUGGAAUUAUCUACAGGUCUCGCCGUUUUUUAUCACCUACAACAAAGUUAUGCUUAUAUUAUACUCUUAUAUAUCCUUAUCUAACCUAUUGUAAUAUUGUAUGGUCCUCUACUUAUGUAACUAAUCUAAACAGAAUUUAUCUUCUACAAAAACGGGUUGUAAGAGCUCUGACGAACUCCGACUACCGUGCCCACUCCUCUUCGUUAUUCUAUCAGUUAAAAAUAUUAGAUAUAUUUAAAUUGAAUUCCUUUUACAUAGGUAAAUUUAUGUAUAAAUACCACUAUCACUUGUUACCUGAAUGUUUCAAUAACUUAUUUAUCACAAACAAUCAAGUACAUAGCUAUAACACUAGAUCGGCUACAUAUUACAGACCUCACGCGUGUCGGACAAACAUAAAGCAAUUCACUAUUCUUUCUGUUGGUCCGAAUACAUGGAAUUCUUUUCCACCAUAUAUUACGGCUAAAACCACCAUUUCCUCUUUCAAGAAUCAAUUAUGCAUUUUCCUACUUGAAAAUUAUAAUAUCGCAUAGACGUCGAAAUCGACAUGUUUUAGUUAACUUGUAUAUUAUGUAGUAAUGUAUGUGUGUUUUGAACUUGUACAAAGAUAUGAUCUUAUUCUGAGUUAUCACAGUUAACUAGGGGGCCUCGUGACGACUGUCACUAGGCCUCCUCUUCACUCAAUUUAUUUAUUACAAAAUUAUUUUAACAAAUGAGAUGGCCUCUUAAUAUAAGCAUUUUAGCUUCUUGAGGUCUUCUCGCUACUGCUCAACUUUGAUACUCAAACUACAAUUAAUGUAAAUAUCUAUAUUCUUGUUGUGUUGUGGCAAAUUAAUGAUGAUAAAUGAUGAUAAACAUAGUCGGCUAUAAAGACAAUGACAAUGUUUUUAAAUAUCAUUCUCUGCUAUAUUAAAAGACAAUGUCAAUCUUAAAUAAUGUAGUGGGCUACUGGGC